rnacentral:rRNA from 1 species
GACAUAGGUCGCAAACGUUAUCCGGAAUUAUUGGGCGUAAAGAGCUCGUAGGUGGUUCGGUAAGUCGGAUGUGAAAUCUCCAGGCUCAACCUGGAGGGGUCAUUCGAUACUGCCGUGACUAGAGGUCGGUAGGGGAGUGUGGAAUUCCUGGUGGAGCGGUGAAAUGCGCAGAUAUCAGGAGGAACACCCGUAGCGAAGGCGGCACUCUGGGCCGAUACUGACACUGAGGAGCGAAAGCGUGGGGAGCGAACAGG